rnacentral:ncRNA from 1 species
GAGGCAUCCAGUGUGGUAACGCGACAGAUCCCGGGGGAAGCUGGCGGGAGCCCCGGGGAGAGUUCUCUUUUCUUGUGAAGGGAAGGGUGCCCUGGAACGAGUUGGCCCCGAGAGAGGGGCCCAAGCCCUGGAAAGUGUUGCGGUUUCGGCAGCGUCCGGUGAGCUCUCCCUGGCCCUUGAAAAUCCGGGGGAGAGGGUGUAAAUCUC